CCUACGGGAGGCAGCAGUAAGGAAUAUUGGACAAUGGGCGCAAGCCUGAUCCAGCCAUGCCGCGUGAAGGAUUAAGGCCCUCUGGGUUGUAAACUUCUUUUAUAGGGGACGAAAAAAGGGCUUUCUAGCUCGACUGACGGUACCCUAUGAAUAAGCACCGGCUAACUCCGUGCCAGCAGCCGCGGUAAUACGGAGGGUGCAAGCGUUAUCCGGAUUCACUGGGUUUAAAGGGUGCGUAGGCGGGCAGUUAAGUCAGUGGUGAAAUCUCUGGGCUCAACCCGGAAACUGCCAUUGAUACUAUCUGUCUUGAAUAUUGUGGAGGUGAGCGGAAUAUGUCAUGUAGCGGUGAAAUGCUUAGAUAUGACAUAGAACACCGAUUGCGUAGGCAGCUCGCUACACAUAUAUUGACGCUGAGGCACGAAAGCGUGGGGAUCAAACAGGAUUAGAUACCCUGGUAGUCCACGCCCUAAACUAUGAUUACUCGACAUUUGCGAUACACAGUAAGUGUUCUGAGACGAAGACAUUAAGUAAUACCACCGUACGGAAGGUACGACCGACGAGGUUAGUAACGUACGAAACGUAGUAAGUUAGUACGGACGUUAGAGACGAGCCGACGGACGACGACGAGGGAGGAGG
rnacentral:rRNA from 1 species